UACGUAGGGUGCGAGCGUUGUCCGGAAUUAUUGGGCGUAAAGAGCUCGUAGGCGGCCUAUUACGUCUGCUGUGAAAGCCCGGGGCUUAACCCCGGGUCUGCAGUGGAUACGGGCAGGCUAGAGUUCGGCAGGGGAGACUGGAAUUCCUGGUGUAGCGGUGAAAUGCGCAGAUAUCAGGAGGAACACCGGUGGCGAAGGCGGGUCUCUGGGCCGAUACUGACGCUGAGGAGCGAAAGCGUGGGGAGCGAACAGG
rnacentral:rRNA from 1 species